CCAGGUUGAGGUAGUGGGUUGUAUAGUUCAGAAUCACAUCAAGGGAGAUAACUGUACAGCCUCCUAGCUUGCCUUG
rnacentral:pre_miRNA from 1 species